UGGGGGCAUAUAUUGGGAAUUGUGGGGGGGAAGAACUGACGCCAGCCUGUCCGCGUGCAGGAAGAAGGCCCUCUGGGUUGUAAACUGUUUUUAUCUGGGAAGAAAAAGGCCAUGCGUGGCAAAUUGCCGGUGCCAGAUGAAUAAGCACCGGCUAACUCCGUGCCAGCAGCCGCGGUAAUACGGAGGGUGCAAGCGUUGUCCGGAUUUAUUGGGUUUAAAGGGUGCGUAGGCGGCUGAUUAAGUCAGCGGUGAAAGACUUCGGCUUAACCGGAGCAGUGCCGUUGAUACUGAUUGGCUUGAGUGUUGGAGGGGUACAUGGAAUUGAUGGUGUAGCGGUGAAAUGCAUAGAUACCAUCAGGAACACCGAUAGCGAAGGCAUUGUACUGGCCAACAACUGACGCUGAGGCACGAAAGUGUGGGGAUCGAACAGGAUUAGAUACCCUGGUAGUCCACACUGUAAACGAUGAUUACUCGCUGUUAUGGUGUAUGCUGUACCGGCCAAGCGAAAGCGUUAAGUAAUCCACCUGGGGAGUACGCCGGCAACGGUGAAACUCAAAGAUU
rnacentral:rRNA from 1 species